UCUUCAUUCCGCGUGCUCUCUCACCGGUCAGAAUGACGAGAGAUCAUGCGGAAUGGAGAGA
rnacentral:pre_miRNA from 1 species